rnacentral:lncRNA from 1 species
AAAACUUGUGUGAAUACCUCCGCGUCGCGAACUUGUUUCCCGACGAAAUCUGCGAAAAUAAAACUCAAGUUUGACUUGUUUAAAAGGUCCAACUAAGUGAGGGGUAGUUUGGGUACUUUGGGGGAAUUAUUAUAAACGGUUAUUCUACCUAUUUUAGGGUAUUUUAAGUUGGUUAAAACCCCAAAACCUAAAAUUAGACCCC